AACGAACGCUGGCGGCAUGCCUAACACAUGCAAGUCGAACGAGACCUUCGGGUCUAGUGGCGCACGGGUGCGUAACGCGUGGGAACCUGCCCUUAGGUUCGGAAUAACUCCCCGAAAGGGGUGCUAAUACCGGAUAAUGUCUUCGGACCAAAGAUUUAUCGCCUUUGGAUGGGCCCGCGUUGGAUUAGCUAGUUGGUAGGGUAAAAGCCUACCAAGGCGACGAUCCAUAGCUGGUCUGAGAGGAUGAUCAGCCACACUGGGACUGAGACACGGCCCAGACUCCGACGGGAGGCAGCAGUGUGGAAUAUUAGACACUGGGCGAAAGCCUGAUCCAGCAAUGCCGCGUGAGUGAUGAAGGCCUUAGGGUUGUAAAGCUCUUUUACCCGGGAUGAUAAUGACAGUACCGGGAGAAUAAGCACCGGCUAACUCCGUG
rnacentral:rRNA from 1 species